rnacentral:rRNA from 1 species
GAUAAACGCUGGCGGCGUGCCUAACACAUGCAAGUCGAACGCCCUGGAGCAAUUCAGGGAGUGGCGGACGGGUGAGGAACACGUGGGUUAUCUGCCUUGAGGUGAGGAAUACCGGCGAGAAAUCGCCGACAAUACCGCAUACGUUCGUAAGAACAAAGUCGCAAGACGCCACAAGAUGAGCCUGCGUCCGAUUAGCUAGUUGGUGGGGUAAAAGCCUACCAAGGCAGCGAUCGGAGCUGGUCUGAGAGGACGAUCAGCCACACUGGGAUUGAGAACGGCCCAGACUCCUACGGGGGCGA